UACGUAGGGGGCAAGCGUUGUCCGGAAUCAUUGGGCGUAAAGCGCGUGUAGGCGGCUCGAUAAGUCUGCUGUGAAAGUCCAGGGCUCAACCCUGGGAUGCCGGUGGAUACUGUCGAGCUCGAGUCCGGAAGAGGCGAGUGGAAUUCCUGGUGUAGCGGUGAAAUGCGCAGAUAUCAGGAGGAGCACCAAUGGCGAAGGCAGCUCGCUGGGACGUGACUGACGCUGAGACGCGAAAGCGUGGGGAGCAAACAGG
rnacentral:rRNA from 1 species